GAGUUAAGGCAGAGUCCUGAGUACCUUGGGGAAGGCACCUUCCAGCCUGGUCCAGCCAGGUGCUGGAGGAUGAGCUUUCUAAGAAAGACUCACUAGAAUGUCCCUAUUGUCAUAGGGGACAGGAUGUGGUGGCUAGCGCUGUCCUGAUCCUUCUGGCAUUGUCAGGCACCACACUUUAGGCCAGUUUUGCUCCUCCAGGCAUGCGUGACACGCCAGUGUGGCAGGCCUGAGGAAGGUGCCCUGGCUUUUCAUCUACUUUCCUAGAGCCCAGUCCACGUCUCUGCUUCUCUAGGCAGCAUGGCUUGCUGGGGAAGGGGCCAGUGAUACUUAAUUCAUCUGCCUAAGAGCCUGAAACUAGGGGCAUCUGCCUCUGUGCUGUGGCCACCAGAGCCACCUGUUUCCCUCCCGUGGAUGUCUCAGUCGAGCCACCUUGGAGCCCUGGGAACAAGGAUGCCAUUGUGACCAGGAGGGAAGUGUCGCCCCGUUGAUCGAUCUGCCUGUGAGGCUCCCGCCAAGAAAAUGGAUUUUGAUUUUGUAGGGAUGGAGUGGGUGGGAAACGAGGCUCAGAAUCCGCUGGGCUGUGUUCUACACCCGCUAGCAGCUCAGGACAGACCCACAGACUUGGCUCCAAAAGUCCUGCUGUCUGGGAGAAGGUAGGCCUUUCUCACGUGGCUUGACUUCCUGCUGCCUAUCAGCUGUGAUGUCAACACCAUGAAGGAUGGUGUGUCUGCUUCUCUUAGGGCUCUUCUGGCUUCAGAGGUACACACCAGUCCCAGCCCCUCCUUAGCCCCUCCUUUCAGGCCCACACCAUUUUGGUACCCAAGAAGAGGAGGGAGUGAUGAGACACCCAGCAGGGCAGGAUUCCGGCCCCAGCCACGGCCGCCUGAGACAGCCCACGAAGUGUUAGCUCAUUUAAUUUAAUUAAAACUCAACAAGAUGGAGGCAGCUGUAGUGCAGUUAAUUAAAACAGCCAUAAUCAAGGCAGGAAAUGGUCCGGCAGUGUUUGUGGCUGCUGCCCAGCACAGCACAGAGGCCGGCAUGGCUCCGCUCCCCUGUAUUUGUUCAUGGGUGCCCCCAGGCAGGUUCCCCAUGCUGCCAGACGGUCCUCCCCGCAGGCCUGACUCCUCCCCGGAAUGGCAUUGACUGUCUGUGGCAGGCAGCAGUUCUGGGAAGGCCCGCUGUCUGCAGCAUUUGUUCAUCAAGUAUUUAUGUAGCGCUUGCUGUGUGCCAGACCCCGUGCCACCCCUCCCCUGCCCAUGACUCCCCGGGAUGCUGCGCAGGCCUCUUCCUUCUUGUCCGCACAGUGACCGACAGCACUUCCUCCUCCUUGAGCAAACCUCCUGCCCUCCCUCGGGCUUUGCCACCCCUGAUUUCCUCGAGCUGUGCUGUUGUCUCCUUGCCUGAAGCCCAGGUGGGUUCUUCUAGCCCAGAGACCUGCCAGCCUCACCUUUGCUCUAACAGUCUGUCCUCCAGCAGGCAAACCCAUUGCUUCUGGUGCUUCAGUCACCGCCUCCUUAUCUGUCCUGAUACUGGUCAACCCAGCCCAGAUAUCCUGUGAGCUCCAGGUCCCACAUUUGAUGGGUGCUGUCUGGAUUUCACCCUAUCAUGGAUGAGCAAUGACUUCUUUACAAACAGCCCUUCCCUGCUCCUGUUGACCAUUUGUCCAUGAGUAGCAACCUCACCCCCACCCCCAGAGCCCAGCCCCCCAUUUAGUAAGGAUCCACAUCCUCUUCAUGCCUCACCAAAUGGAUCUCAGAUUGGUGCCUUCUUUCUUUCUGUUGCCUCUGUCCUAGCCUGGGACACCACUCCUGUUCUCCCUGCCUCUAAACUUGCUCUGAAAACUCUGUCCUCCGGCAGCUGUUGGUGUUGUCCAUUCAUCUUCCUCCUAGACUCCGAGAGCCAGCGCUGGACCCUGGGCUCCUAACCCUUGCCCCUGCCUGCUUGGUCAGAUAUGUGCUCCUGGUCAGGGACCCUGCUCAAUCACAUGCUGGCUUUAUCUCGUCCUGUCCUAUCUACAUGCACCUUAUUAGUUCUGUGGCCUUAGGUAACUUUGUCAGUUUUCAUAUCUUGCAAAGUAGCUGCAUUAAGGACACAGUGACACUUUGCGGCCUGGUUUGUGGUAAAGGCUCUGUCCCUGCCUGCUGCCACUUACAGGUAACCACGAUGACCCAUCCUUGCCCACCUGGCCCUCCGCUCACUUUAGCUUCUUCCACUGGGCACCUGCACCCAGCUUCUGACUACUCCCUCAGGAGCCACCCUGCUUCAUGCUGUCAGCGUUUGUCUCCAGCCCUACUUACCUAGGCUGGGUGUGGGAGGAGCUGGGACAGAUUUGCUUGGUAAGGUGCCCCUCCCCACCAUACCCGGCUCUCUGUAAGUCCUCAUUGAGGAAUUACUUUAUUGACCUUUGGGACUUAUGACUGAAGAUGAUAUCUACUCAUUUGACCUUUCCUGCUCCAGGAAGCUGUGACUUAAGGAUCAUAAAUAGGCCAGGGAGGGUGUGUGCCCAGUGCUUGGGAUGAAGCCGUGUGAGGACAUCCCUUCACAGAGUGGGCUCAGGCCCCUAUUAUACACUCGCCUAUGUCCAAGACCCCUUGUGGUUUUCAUGUCACCCACAGUUCACAGGGUGCUUUUCUACCCUUAUUACCUCAGAGUCUCUUGCAGCGUCUCUGCAGCAGGACAGGCCGUGUUGAUUAUGUCUACUUUCCGCAGGUCAAGGGGUCACACGUGGAGGUCCUGGGAGGUAACCCGGGGAGGUCCUUCUAACAGCAUAUCCUAACCCUGGAGUCUGAGAAGUAGUUGUAUCCAUCAGAGCUCCAGACAUUAGCUCUCCAGACCUCAGGUCCCCCUGGCGGUCUCUACAGUGCCGCCAGCAUCUGUGAGCCAUAGCACAUCUGUACACAUCAGCUCUGUUUGAAGGGCUCUUUUCCCGCUGCAGCCAUGGGAUCCCCGCCUCGGUACCCCAUGGGCCACUUGAGCUUGAGACCUCAGGCAAGCCCAUGCAGAAAGGACGCCUGCUGUGGCAGUGGCCGAAUUGGGGCUGUCAAGUGGAGAUGGCAGCUCUGCCUGCAGGAGGAGGCCUCUGUUCCCUCUGAUGAGAUGCUCCUGGCUUCUCCCUCUGCUGGCUGGCCCAGCUCUGACUGGAAGAGCCUAUCUACCCUGCCUUGCUCUGUCUUUGACUGGGUCUUCCAGAAUGGUGCAGUCAGCAUGUGAGUUCACUGGCACGAAUCUCUUGGGGAGGCUGACACUUGGGCCCCUUCAGUGCCAUAUACGUGUCUAGUGAAACAGAAAAGCCAGAUUCUCAGUCAGUGGGUUAAGUGGAGAGAGAACAGAAGCCACAGGCUUGGCUUCAGUGCCAGGCUGUGCACACUACAGCCCCCGCCCCAGCUCCAGCCUAGACUGUAGGAGGUCAGUGCUUGUCAACUUUCUGGUCUUAGUAUUGCUAACUUUAGCUCAGAGGACCGUAAGGUAGUUUUGUUUAGCUGGCUUAUACCUAUUGAUCUUUACCGUAUUAGACAUUUAAGAUAGAAGAUUUUAAAUGUUUACUAAUUAUUUUAAAAUAAUUUAAAAACUAUCAAGUGUUACCAUAAAUAAACAUUCUAAAAUAAAAAAGAUAAUUGUGUACUCUAAGACAAAAAAUAUUUACUUAGGAAAACCUCACUGUUAAUUUGGAGCUUCAGUGUGGCUGCGUUCAGCCUGUUAACAGCGUUACAGGUUGUGAACCCUUCAGGAAAUGACACUGUAUGUACAUAAGAGAAAGCAUCUAAAUAAGGCAGAUAGUUCUGGUUUUGAAACAAGACCUUUACUGUAUAGCCCUGGGCAUGAUACUCUAUAGAGCCCAGCCUCUCCUAGAACUUGCUGCAGUCACCCUGUCUCAGCCUCCCAAGUGUUAGGAUUACAGGCAGACUCCACACCCCCUCCCCAGUCUUAGUAUUGUAGGAACUACUAAUUGUAGGCUUUAUUCUGGUGGACUCCCUAAAAGGUUCUCAGUGAUUCCCUCUCCCCCCAAACACACACACGCGCACGCAUGCAUGCACGCAUGCACGCAUACACACCCCUCUGGAGCACACAUGGAGAAUCUCUAUGUUGGUCUAGUAUCACUUUCCUAUAUGAACACAUCACUCCCUCCCCAGCCCCCACCGGUGCCUUCUAGCUUCCGUAUCUGCAGGAUGUCCGUCAGGAAGGCUCCAAGUUAGACUGGUUCGAUCCUGUUGCCUCACAUAAAAGCCUUUUACUGUUUCCAGGCCUCCUUUUCCUCAUUCGUGCAUAGAGAUGGGUAUUUUUUCCAGAUGGGUGUUGCCAAGUUUGAUGGGACAGGAACUGAUCUCUGGCCCCAGCACUUCCAACCCAACCCCCACUGAAGGAUCGAGAGGGUGGAUAGACUCGGAUCUGGGUCAGUCUAUAGGUUCCUGGGUCAGUCUAGGUCCCACUGAAGGAGCUAGAGGGUGGAUAGACUCGGAUCUGGGUCAGUCUAUAGGUUCCACUGAAGGAGCUAGAGGGUGGAUAGACUUGGAUCUGGGUCAGUCUAUAGGUUCCUGGCUCCGGUGGUUGAACUGGAAGUCUCGGGACAGGCACCUGUGGAAGGCAAACCUACUAAGGGUUCGUAACAGGCCUGGCUUAGGAAGACAAAUGCCUGCCUCUUUUGGCUGCCGAUCCCAGGGGUCUGAAGCACCAGACACACAGGGGUGGGUGCUGACCCUUUGCCUCUCACCAGAUAGGCUGAGGAGCUCUGGCUACUCUAUCCUAAUAGGGGCAGGUGGGUUUUACAGGCUGUUAGCCACCGGGGUUUGAGUUGAGUCCCACGCUUCCCCUGUUGGAUGCCAGGGCUGCUCUGUGCCUUGGGAUCCCUGAUUCAUCAUGGUAACCUAUGUGAGCUCUCCCCUUAACCCUGCCUGCUUAAAUGCCCUGGUUUUGUUUUGGUAAGUGCUCUCCUUGGACGCUUACCCUGUGGGAUUUGGGCGGUCUUUGGGGUGGUUGCUGCUCCCGUUUCUCUCCAUCAGCCCAGCCAGCAAGGGUCAUAGGAGCCCAGCCCCACCUCCCUGAUUCCUGUCAACGCCUCUGCCAGUUCCAGUUCUCUGCUUCCCCCGAGCAGUGCUAGUGACCCAGGGGACAUGCUUCACCCACACUCAGCCUGGCCCAGCCUAGUGCUUGCUCACACAACAC